rnacentral:lncRNA from 1 species
CGCGCCUGCCUUGCUGCCAACUUAGCCAAAGCGGCUGAGGGGCCUCCGCCCAGCUCGGGGGAGAGCGGCGCCGGCGGAAGGGCGGGGCGAGAGCCCUGGACAUCAGCUCCUGGGACAGUUUCUCAAAGAAGGACCAAAGUUUUGUCAAGAACUCCCAGAUGAAGACCUUCCUAGACCUGUAAACUGGGAUUACCCAGUUCUUGACUUCACAAGGAAGUUUCAACCAAUUCUGAUGGAACAACCAGAGAGGCCCAAAUGACUGCCACCCAUGAGCCAAGGACCUGAUCUCUUUCCUUUAGACCUAAUACUCUACCGGAGAUCCACAACCUUCCUAAUCCUCUCCCCUCCUCGUCCCGCCCCCGCGCCUCAAAAACUACGGAGAAAAAGAAGGUGUGCCCAAGGCUGGAUCGAAAUCAUCCUGCCCCUUCUUCAAAAGAGAGAC